rnacentral:rRNA from 1 species
CUUGGCAAUGUCGGAGCGGGACAGAUGGGAGCUUGCUCCCUGAUGUUAGCGGCGGACGGGUGAGUAACACGUGGGUAACCUGCCUGUAAGACUGGGAUAACUCCGGGAAACCGGGGCUAAUACCGGAUGGUUGUUUGAACCGCAUGGUUCAAACAUAAAAGGUGGCUUCGGCUACCACUUACAGAUGGACCCGCGGCGCAUUAGCUAGUUGGUGAGGUAACGGCUCACCAAGGCAACGAUGCGUAGCCGACCUGAGAGGGUGAUCGGCCACACUGGGACUGAGACACGGCCCAGAUUCCUACGGGAGGCAGCAGUAGGGAAUCUUCCGCAAUGGACGAAAGUCUGACGGAGCAACGCCGCGUGAGUGAUGAAGGUUUUCGGAUCGUAAAGCUCUGUUGUUAGGGAAGAACAAGUACCGUUCGAAUAGGGCGGUACCUUGACGGUACCUAACCAGAAAGCCACGGCUAACUACGUGCCAGCAGCCGCGGUAAUACGUAGGUGGCAAGCGUUGUCCGGAAUUAUUGGGCGUAAAGGGCUCGCAGGCGGUUUCUUAAGUCUGAUGUGAAAGCCCCCGGCUCAACCGGGGAGGGUCAUUGGAAACUGGGGAACUUGAGUGCAGAAGAGGAGAGUGGAAUUCCACGUGUAGCGGUGAAAUGCGUAGAGAUGUGGAGGAACACCAGUGGCGAAGGCGACUCUCUGGUCUGUAACUGACGCUGAGGAGCGAAAGCGUGGGGAGCGAACAGGAUUAGAUACCCUGGUAGUCCACGCCGUAAACGAUGAGUGCUAAGUGUUAGGGGGUUUCCGCCCCUUAGUGCUGCAGCUAACGCAUUAAGCACUCCGCCUGGGGAGUACGGUCGCAAGACUGAAACUCAAAGGAAUUGACGGGGGCCCGCACAAGCGGUGGAGCAUGUGGUUUAAUUCGAAGCAACGCGAAGAACCUUACCAGGUCUUGACAUCCUCUGACAAUCCUAGAGAUAGGACGUCCCCUUCGGGGGCAGAGUGACAGGUGGUGCAUGGUUGUCGUCAGCUCGUGUCGUGAGAUGUUGGGUUAAGUCCCGCAACGAGCGCAACCCUUGAUCUUAGUUGCCAGCAUUCAGUUGGGCACUCUAAGGUGACUGCCGGUGACAAACCGGAGGAAGGUGGGGAUGACGUCAAAUCAUCAUGCCCCUUAUGACCUGGGCUACACACGUGCUACAAUGGACAGAACAAAGGGCAGCGAAACCGCGAGGUUAAGCCAAUCCCACAAAUCUGUUCUCAGUUCGGAUCGCAGUCUGCAACUCGACUGCGUGAAGCUGGAAUCGCUAGUAAUCGCGGAUCAGCAUGCCGCGGUGAAUACGUUCCCGGGCCUUGUACACACCGCCCGUCACACCACGAGAGUUUGUAAUCACCCGAAGUAUGG